rnacentral:tRNA from 1 species
GGAUGGGUGGCUGAGCGGUUCAAAGCAACGGUCUUGAAAACCGUCGAGUCGAAAGGCUCCGUGGGUUCGAAUCCCACCCCAUCCGCCA